rnacentral:rRNA from 1 species
AUUGAACGCUGGCGGCAUGCCUUACACAUGCAAGUCGAACGGCAGCACGGAGCUUGCUCUGGUGGCGAGUGGCGAACGGGUGAGUAAUAUAUCGGAACGUACCCUAGAGUGGGGGAUAACGUAGCGAAAGUUACGCUAAUACCGCAUACGAUCUAAGGAUGAAAGUGGGGGAUCGCAAGACCUCAUGCUCGUGGAGCGGCCGAUAUCUGAUUAGCUAGUUGGUAGGGUAAAAGCCUACCAAGGCAUCGAUCAGUAGCUGGUCUGAGAGGACGACCAGCCACACUGGAACUGAGACACGGUCCAGACUCCUACGGGAGGCAGCAGUGGGGAAUUUUGGACAAUGGGCGAAAGCCUGAUCCAGCAAUGCCGCGUGAGUGAAGAAGGCCUUCGGGUUGUAAAGCUCUUUUGUCAGGGAAGAAACGGUGAAAGCUAAUAUCUUUUGCUAAUGACGGUACCUGAAGAAUAAGCACCGGCUAACUACGUGCCAGCAGCCGCGGUAAUACGUAGGGUGCAAGCGUUAAUCGGAAUUACUGGGCGUAAAGCGUGCGCAGGCGGUUUUGUAAGUCUGAUGUGAAAUCCCCGGGCUCAACCUGGGAAUUGCAUUGGAGACUGCAAGGCUAGAAUCUGGCAGAGGGGGGUAGAAUUCCACGUGUAGCAGUGAAAUGCGUAGAUAUGUGGAGGAACACCGAUGGCGAAGGCAGCCCCCUGGGUCAAGAUUGACGCUCAUGCACGAAAGCGUGGGGAGCAAACAGGAUUAGAUACCCUGGUAGUCCACGCCCUAAACGAUGUCUACUGGUUGUCGGGUCUUAAUUGACUUGGUAACGCAGCUAACGCGUGAAGUAGACCGCCUGGGGAGUACGGUCGCAAGAUUAAAACUCAAAGGAAUUGACGGGGACCCGCACAAGCGGUGGAUGAUGUGGAUUAAUUCGAUGCAACGCGAAAAACCUUACCUACCCUUGACAUGGCUGGAAUCCUUGAGAGAUCAGGGAGUGCUCGAAAGAGAACCAGUACACAGGUGCUGCAUGGCUGUCGUCAGCUCGUGUCGUGAGAUGUUGGGUUAAGUCCCGCAACGAGCGCAACCCUUGUCAUUAGUUGCUACGAAAGGGCACUCUAAUGAGACUGCCGGUGACAAACCGGAGGAAGGUGGGGAUGACGUCAAGUCCUCAUGGCCCUUAUGGGUAGGGCUUCACACGUCAUACAAUGGUACAUACAGAGCGCCGCCAACCCGCGAGGGGGAGCUAAUCGCAGAAAGUGUAUCGUAGUCCGGAUUGUAGUCUGCAACUCGACUGCAUGAAGUUGGAAUCGCUAGUAAUCGCGGAUCAGCAUGUCGCGGUGAAUACGUUCCCGGGUCU